GACGAACGCUGGCGGCGUGCCUAAUACAUGCAAGUCGAGCGAAGUUUUUCUGGUGCUUGCACCAGAAAAACUUAGCGGCGAACGGGUGAGUAACACGUAAAGAACCUGCCUCAUAGACUGGGACAACUAUUGGAAACGAUAGCUAAUACCGGAUAACAGUAUUUCUCGCAUGAGAGAUAUUUAAAAGUUGGUUAUGCUAACACUAUGAGAUGGCUUUGCGGUGCAUUAGCCAGUUGGUGGGGUAAAGGCCCACCAAGGCGACGAUGCAUAGCCGACCUGAGAGGGUGAUCGGCCACACUGGGACUGAGACACGGCCCAGACUCCUACGGGAGGCAGCAGUAGGGAAUCUUCCGCAAUGGGCGAAAGCCUGACGGAGCAACGCCGCGUGAGUGAAGAAGGAUUUCGGUUCGUAAAGCUCUGUUGUUAGGGAAGAANGGAUAUGUAGUAACUAUACAUGUACGAGACG
rnacentral:rRNA from 1 species